UUUAUCCGGCCCCUGAUAUCAUUAUAAUGUUUUGCAACUUCACAUGAAAUAGGCCUAUGACAUAUUUUGCAGGCCUAAAGGAAUCUUAGAAAUUACAUUUCCAAUGCAAUUAAGUUAUAUUCAGGGGACCUAGAAAAGGUGGGGACUGUUUUAAAGGUGUCUACCUUUAAAGAUGUCUAUAUGUCUAUAUAGGCCUAAAGGUGUCUAUAUAGGCCUAAAUUUUAUGGGGAAAUCCUGAUUUGUGUUCAUAGUACGGCCCCCGGAGGAUUUUAUGACCAUGGUAGGAAUUUGAAGUGGCCCCUCGAAUGAAAAAGGUUCCCCACCCCUGCAUAAACCUUUCUACUAGCCACAGCUUUGCUGUCAGUACAUUUUAUUAUGAUACUAUAAGCUCAGAAAUUAAGUUGAUCAAACAAUUCGAUCUGUGCUAUAAACAUUUAAAUGAACCUACAGAAUAGGCUAUCAAAAUAGAAUCAUCUGAAUGAUCUUUCUUGGACAUAGGCCUACAUUUUGAAGUGACCCUUCGAAUUAAAAAGGUUCCUCUGCUGCUUUUGAGGAAAAACAUCAAUGUGCUUGGCCACUCUGGUUUUUUAAAAAUGGUAUUCUGAACUAAAGCAAGGAUUGUUCAAGUUAGUUGAAAAUAGACCGUCUCUGGUUAAAUUAGUUCUACACCAAGCCUUUAGGUGGCAGUAAAACUAAUUGGCACAAUGCGAAUUCCACACACAAGCCACAAAGAAGCCAUCAGCCGCGGUCAACAUCACCUUCCUGAUUGAACAGAACCACGCGUUGUCUGUGUGGUUUACAAGUUUCUUGGCGAUAUGGGGGGAAAGUUCCUCACAUACCAACGGAAAAUGGGCGUCAUAUACAUGCUGCUGUCUCAUAAUAUGGCGAAGACGAGUCACCUGAAGGCCUAACUCGCCAUAGAAGACUGAAAGAAUUGUCCUGCAGGAUGCUGUGUCCUGCAAUCCUGUGUACUGUGCUACAGACGCAUGUGGAGGUCAACCCAAAAUGGGCACAGUCUCACCGCAGAAGAGUGAAAGAGGAUCCUGGCAGGGAGACGGUAGUGUCCUGCAGAAUGGUGAUGGGCCAAUCUUACAAGAGACCACAGAAAACUGAUAUAGUGAACUAUAGAAACAACAGUGCCUGCUGCAGUAUAAUGAGGACACCCUGAGCAGAGAGCUCCAAUAGACCCAGGUCCAGUGUCUUGGCAGGGUGAAAUGGCACUGAUAUGGGUAUGUACUAAUGUCAGUUAAAAUGAAUGAAUGAAUUAAUUCUCAUAUCUGAAUAAUGUGAACACUGGAUUUACCACACACACACACACACACACACACACACACACACACACACACACACACACACACCCUAGGCCUAGAUGAUUUGGACCCAAGGUUACUUUUACCACAGCUCUGGCACAUCAAUUUUCAUUUGUUUAAUAACUGGUCAGGUAAUUUAUUCAUUCCCCUUGUUUGUUUUUUUGU